UACGUAGGGUGCGAGCGUUAAUCGGAAUUACUGGGCGUAAAGCGUGCGCAGGCGGUUUUGUAAGCCAGAUGUGAAAUCCCCGGGCUUAACCUGGGAAUGGCAUUUGGGACUGCAAGGCUUGAGUGCGGCAGAGGAGACUGGAAUUCCUGGUGUAGCAGUGAAAUGCGUAGAUAUCAGGAGGAACACCGAUGGCGAAGGCAGGUCUCUGGGCUGACACUGACGCUCAUGCACUAAAGCGUGGGGAGCAAACAGG
rnacentral:rRNA from 1 species